AGCCUGACGGAGCAACGCCGCGUGAGUGAUGACGGCCUUCGGGUUGUAAAACUCCAUGAUCCGGGACGAAAGGGCGGACUGUGAAAAACAGACUGCAUUGACGGUACCGGAAAAGCAAGCCACGGCUAACUACGUGCCAGCAGCCGCGGUAAUACGUAGGUGGCAAGCGUUGUCCGGAAUUAUUGGGCGUAAAGCGCGCGCAGGCGGCUUCCCAAGUCCCUCUUAAAAGUGCGGGGCUUAACCCCGUGAUGGGAAGGAAACUGGGAAGCUGGAGUAUCGGAGAGGAAAGUGGAAUUCCUAGUGUAGCGGUGAAAUGCGUAGAGAUUAGGAAGAACACCGGUGGCGAAGGCGACUUUCUGGACGAAAACUGACGCUGAGGCGCGAAAGCGCGGGGAGCAAACAGGAUUAGAUACCCUGGUAGUCCACGCCGUAAACGAUGGAUACUAGGUGUAGGAGGUAUCGACCCCUUCUGUGCCGGAGUUAACGCAAUAAGUAUCCCGCCCUGGGAAGUACGAUCGCAAGAU
rnacentral:rRNA from 1 species